CAGUCGCCGCGGGAAUACGAAGGGUGCAAGCGUUACUCGGAAUUACUGGGCGUAGAGCGUGCGUAGGUGGUGGUUUAAGUCCGUUGUGAAAGCCCUGGGCUCAACCUGGGAAUUGCAGUGGAUACUGGGUCACUAGAGUGUGGUAGAGGAUAGUGGAAUUUCCGGUGUAGCAGUGAAAUGCGUAGAGAUCGGAAGGAACAUCUGUGGCGAAGGCGACUACCUGGACUGAUACUGACACUGAGGUGCGAAAGCGUGGGGAGCAAACAGGAUUAGAUACCCCAGUAGUCCCUGUCUCUUAUAA
rnacentral:rRNA from 1 species